ACCUGCAGUCGAGGGGUAUAGUUCUUCGGAACUAGAGACCGGCGCACGGGUGCGUAACGCGUAUGCAAUCUGCCUUUUACAGAGGGAUAGCCCAGAGAAAUUUGGAUUAAUACCUCAUAGUAUGCAGAGUUGGCAUCAACACUGCAUUAAAGUCACAACGGUAAAAGAUGAGCAUGCGUCCCAUUAGCUAGUUGGUAAGGUAACGGCUUACCAAGGCUACGAUGGGUAGGGGUCCUGAGAGGGAGAUCCCCCACACUGGUACUGAGACACGGACCAGACUCCUACGGGGGGCAGCAGUGAGGAAUAUUGGACAAUGGGCGCAAGCCUGAUCCAGCCAUGCCGCGUGCAGGAUGACAGUCCUAUGGAUUGUAAACUGCUUUUGUACGGGAAGAAACACUCCUUCGUGAAGGAGCUUGACGGUACCGUAAGAAUAAGGAUCGGCUAACUCCGUGCCAGCAGCCGCGGUAAUACGGAGGAUCCAAGCGUUAUCCGGAAUCAUUGGGUUUAAAGGGUCCGUAGGCGGUUUAGUAAGUCAGUGGUGAAAGCCCAUCGCUCAACGGUGGAACGGCCAUUGAUACUGCUAGACUUGAAUUAUUAGGAAGUAACUAGAAUAUGUAGUGUAGCGGUGAAAUGCUUAGAGAUUACAUGGAAUAC
rnacentral:rRNA from 1 species